AAGAGAAGAGAAAUGGUGCGUUUGGAAAGGAGACUACACAAUAUAAGAGAAUGUGCUGCCAACCUCUCUCCGGUACGUUCUUUUACCAAUAAUAACAUGCCACGUCACUAUACGUGACACAGCAGUUAUAAGACAGACCAAUAUGCUAUAGACAACUUGAGCGACGGAACUGUUAGGCUACUAAUUCUAGACCCGGCCCUGUUCCUGGCCGAUUCCGGGCCAGAACUGUGAUUUUUU
rnacentral:misc_RNA from 1 species